UACGUAGGGACCGAGCGUUGUCCGGAUUCAUUGGGCGUAAAGAGCUCGUAGGCGGCUUGUCGCGUCGUCCGUGAAAACCUGCGGCUCAACUGCAGGCUGGCGGUCGAUACGGGCAGGCUGGAGUUCGGUAGGGGAGACUGGAAUUCCUGGUGUAGCGGUGAAAUGCGUAGAUAUCAGGAGGAACACCGGUGGCGAAGGCGGCUAUCUGGACAGAGUCUGACGCUGAGGCGCGAAAGCUAGGGGAGCAAACAGG
rnacentral:rRNA from 1 species